rnacentral:rRNA from 1 species
GGGCGAAAGCCUGAUCCAGCCAUUCCGCGUGAGUGAAGAAGGCCUUCGGGUUGUAAAGCUCUUUCGCAAGGGAAGAAAACUUAUCCUCUAACAUAGGGUGAGGUUGACGGUACCUUGAUAAGAAGCACCGGCUAANUANGUGCCAGCAGCCGCGGUAAUACGUAGGGUGCGAGCGUUAAUCGGAAUUACUGGGCGUAAAGCGUGCGCAGGCGGUUUUGUAAGUCAGAUGUGAAAUCCCCGAGCUCAACUUGGGAACUGCGUUUGAAACUAUAAGACUAGAAUAUGUCAGAGGGGGGUAGAAUUCCACGUGUAGCAGUGAAAUGCGUAGAGAUGUGGAGGAAUACCAAUGGCGAAGGCAGCCCCCUGGGAUAAUAUUGACGCUCAUGCACGAAAGCGUGGGGAGCAAACAGGAUUAGAUACCCUGGUAGUCCACGCCCUAAACGAUGUCUACUAGUUGUUGGUGGAGUAAAAUCCAUGAGUAACG